AGAUGCUCAUUUUCCUUCUGACUCUGGCUCCUACAUAACUUAGCUUCUCUGAGACAUCCGCCGUGCUGUUGUCAUGAGGUUUUGACCCAGGAACUUUGACUCCCUUGAGCUUUAUCCUCCCAACUUCCUGUUGCUUUGAUGAGGAAAUUUCCUCAGAGUCUCCUGUUACACUUCACGAGGGAAGACCAUGGCUGGGCCCCGCUUUCUCUUUUGAGCAUCCGAAGUGUCCCUUCCAUCCUCUUCCUCGGGUCAAGUCCUGCUUGACUGACAGCUCCUGGAGAGCAGGGCCAAGUCUGACUCAGCCCCAUGUCCUCUGGCCCGGACCAGGCAGGUGUCUGGUCUUGAGCUGUUCCUGCCUUUCUCCAAGGCAUCCACUCCUUGGGAUUCAGUUUUGAAAGAGAGGUAUCAGCCAUCAGCGGAAAUCUGUGUCCC